rnacentral:rRNA from 1 species
UACAGAGGCCACAAGCGUUAGGCGGAAUCACUGGGCUUAAAGCGUGUGUAGGCGGGAUGGUAAGUACUUUGUGAAAUCCCACGGCUUAACCGUGGAAUUGCUUGGUAUACUGCCGUUCUUGAGUCAUCUAGGGCAGCCGGAACAGAUGGUGGAGCGGUGAAAUGCGUAGAUAUCAUCUGGAACGCCAAUGGUGCAGACAGGCUGCUGGGGAUGUACUGACGCUGAGGCACGAAAGCCAGGGGAGCAAACGGG